CCUACGGGAGGCAGCAGUGAGGAAUAUUGGUCAAUGGGCGAGAGCCUGAACCAGCCAAGUCGCGUGAGGGAAGACGGUCCUAUGGAUUGUAAACCUCUUUUGUCGGGGAGCAAAAAGGCCUCGUGAGGCCACAAGUUAGAGUACCCGAAGAAAAAGCAUCGGCUAACUCCGUGCCAGCAGCCGCGGUAAUACGGAGGAUGCGAGCGUUAUCCGGAUUUAUUGGGUUUAAAGGGUGCGUAGGCGGACUGGAACGUCAGCGGUAAAAGCGAGAGGCUCAACCUCUUUCCGCCGGUGAAACUGUCGGUAUUGAGUGGGCGAGAAGUAUGCGGAAUGCGUGGUGUAGCGGUGAAAUGCAUAGAUAUCACGCAGAACUCCGAUUGCGAAGGCAGCAUACCGGCGCCCGACUGACGCUGAGGCACGAAAGCGUGGGUAUCGAACAGGAUUAGAUACCCGAGUAGUC
rnacentral:rRNA from 1 species